UAAGCGACUAAGCGUACACGGUGGAUGCCCUGGCAGUCAGAGGCGAUGAAGGACGUGCUAAUCUGCGAUAAGCGUCGGUAAGGUGAUAUGAACCGUUAUAACCGGCGAUUUCCGAAUGGGGAAACCCAGUGUGAUUUGUCACACUAUCAUUAACUGAAUCCAUAGGUUAAUGAGGCGAACCGGGGGAACUGAAACAUCUAAGUACCCCGAGGAAAAGAAAUCAACCGAGAUUCCCCCAGUAGCGGCGAGCGAACGGGGAGGAGCCCAGAGCCUGAAUCAGUGUGUGUGUUAGUGGAAGCGUCUGGAAAGGCGCGCGAUACAGGGUGACAGCCCCGUACACAAAAAUGCACAUGCUGUGAGCUCGAUGAGUAGGGCGGGACACGUGGUAUCCUGUCUGAAUAUGGGGGGACCAUCCUCCAAGGCUAAAUACUCCUGACUGACCGAUAGUGAACCAGUACCGUGAGGGAAAGGCGAAAAGAACCCCGGCGAGGGGAGUGAAAAAGAACCUGAAACCGUGUACGUACAAGCAGUGGGAGCACGCUUCGGCGUGUGACUGCGUACCUUUUGUAUAAUGGGUCAGCGACUUAUAUUCUGUAGCAAGGUUAACCGAAUAGGGGAGCCGAAGGGAAACCGAGUCUUAACUGGGCGUUAAGUUGCAGGGUAUAGACCCGAAACCCGGUGAUCUAGCCAUGGGCAGGUUGAAGGUUGGGUAACACUAACUGGAGGACCGAACCGACUAAUGUUGAAAAAUUAGCGGAUGACUUGUGGCUGGGGGUGAAAGGCCAAUCAAACCGGGAGAUAGCUGGUUCUCCCCGAAAGCUAUUUAGGUAGCGCCUCGUGAAUUCAUCUCCGGGGGUAGAGCACUGUUUCGGCAAGGGGGUCAUCCCGACUUACCAACCCGAUGCAAACUGCGAAUACCGGAGAAUGUUAUCACGGGAGACACACGGCGGGUGCUAACGUCCGUCGUGAAGAGGGAAACAACCCAGACCGCCAGCUAAGGUCCCAAAGUCAUGGUUAAGUGGGAAACGAUGUGGGAAGGCCCAGACAGCCAGGAUGUUGGCUUAGAAGCAGCCAUCAUUUAAAGAAAGCGUAAUAGCUCACUGGUCGAGUCGGCCUGCGCGGAAGAUGUAACGGGGCUAAACCAUGCACCGAAGCUGCGGCAGCGACACUAUGUGUUGUUGGGUAGGGGAGCGUUCUGUAAGCCUGUGAAGGUGGCCUGUGAGGGUUGCUGGAGGUAUCAGAAGUGCGAAUGCUGACAUAAGUAACGAUAAAGCGGGUGAAAAGCCCGCUCGCCGGAAGACCAAGGGUUCCUGUCCAACGUUAAUCGGGGCAGGGUGAGUCGACCCCUAAGGCGAGGCCGAAAGGCGUAGUCGAUGGGAAACAGGUUAAUAUUCCUGUACUUGGUGUUACUGCGAAGGGGGGACGGAGAAGGCUAUGUUGGCCGGGCGACGGUUGUCCCGGUUUAAGCGUGUAGGCUGGUUUUCCAGGCAAAUCCGGAAAACUAAGGCUGAGGCGUGAUGACGAGGCACUACGGUGCUGAAGCAACAAAUGCCCUGCUUCCAGGAAAAGCCUCUAAGCAUCAGGUAACAUCAAAUCGUACCCCAAACCGACACAGGUGGUCAGGUAGAGAAUACCAAGGCGCUUGAGAGAACUCGGGUGAAGGAACUAGGCAAAAUGGUGCCGUAACUUCGGGAGAAGGCACGCUGAUAUGUAGGUGAAGCGACUUGCUCGUGGAGCUGAAAUCAGUCGAAGAUACCAGCUGGCUGCAACUGUUUAUUAAAAACACAGCACUGUGCAAACACGAAAGUGGACGUAUACGGUGUGACGCCUGCCCGGUGCCGGAAGGUUAAUUGAUGGGGUUAGCGGUAACGCGAAGCUCUUGAUCGAAGCCCCGGUAAACGGCGGCCGUAACUAUAACGGUCCUAAGGUAGCGAAAUUCCUUGUCGGGUAAGUUCCGACCUGCACGAAUGGCGUAAUGAUGGCCAGGCUGUCUCCACCCGAGACUCAGUGAAAUUGAACUCGCUGUGAAGAUGCAGUGUACCCGCGGCAAGACGGAAAGACCCCGUGAACCUUUACUAUAGCUUGACACUGAACAUUGAGCCUUGAUGUGUAGGAUAGGUGGGAGGCUUUGAAGUGUGGACGCCAGUCUGCAUGGAGCCGACCUUGAAAUACCACCCUUUAAUGUUUGAUGUUCUAACGUUGACCCGUGAUCCGGGUUGCGGACAGUGUCUGGUGGGUAGUUUGACUGGGGCGGUCUCCUCCUAAAGAGUAACGGAGGAGCACGAAGGUUGGCUAAUCCUGGUCGGACAUCAGGAGGUUAGUGCAAUGGCAUAAGCCAGCUUGACUGCGAGCGUGACGGCGCGAGCAGGUGCGAAAGCAGGUCAUAGUGAUCCGGUGGUUCUGAAUGGAAGGGCCAUCGCUCAACGGAUAAAAGGUACUCCGGGGAUAACAGGCUGAUACCGCCCAAGAGUUCAUAUCGACGGCGGUGUUUGGCACCUCGAUGUCGGCUCAUCACAUCCUGGGGCUGAAGUAGGUCCCAAGGGUAUGGCUGUUCGCCAUUUAAAGUGGUACGCGAGCUGGGUUUAGAACGUCGUGAGACAGUUCGGUCCCUAUCUGCCGUGGGCGCUGGAGAACUGAGGGGGGCUGCUCCUAGUACGAGAGGACCGGAGUGGACGCAUCACUGGUGUUCGGGUUGUCAUGCCAAUGGCACUGCCCGGUAGCUAAAUGCGGAAGAGAUAAGUGCUGAAAGCAUCUAAGCACGAAACUUGCCCCGAGAUGAGUUCUCCCUGACUCCCUGAGAGUCCUGAAGGAACGUUGAAGACGACGACGUUGAUAGGCCGGGUGUGUAAGCGCAGCGAUGCGUUGAGCUAACCGGUACUAAUGAACCGUGAGGCUUAACCU
rnacentral:rRNA from 1 species